ACCUGGGUGGCUCAGUUAGUUGAGCAUCUGACUUCAGCUCAGGUCAUGAUCUCGCAGUUCAUGGGUUCAAGCCCCACAUCGGGCU
rfam:Felis catus isolate Cinnamon breed Abyssinian chromosome X, whole genome shotgun sequence.